rnacentral:tRNA from 2 species
GCGGGAGUAGCUCAGUUGGUAGAGCGUUUGCUUCCCAAGCAAAAAGUCGCGGGUUCGAAUCCCGUCUCCCGCU